CCUGUCCCUCGAGGAAUUUCAGGUGUGACUCUUGUGUCACAUGUGUCAGUAGGUACCAGAGAAGAGCGAGGUUAUGUGUAUGCUCCGUGGUCGGGCCUGUGAACAUCUCCCUGAAAAAGGCAAAGCUGAGACC